CGUUAUAUAAAUGCUUCUUUUCUAGAGCAUACCCUUGGAAAACAGCAGGUGUUAAAAUGAAGAGACACCAUGUGGCACUGCUGCCUGACAUCACCUUGGCAAUGUUACGCCUUUCUCUUAAAAAAUGCCAAAAAUAAUCGGCGCCUCUUUAAUCUCGCUGUUGGAGCUGUUUGCCGUCGUCGUCUGAUAACCCACCUGAUGCUAUACCUGCUUCCAUUAUUUCGGCCAGCGAACUGGAUCCCCUGUUAACUGCACUGAGACAAAUAUCAAGCCAGAUAUGCAUUGGCUGGAGUAAUGUACUUCUUCACAUCUUAGGGACAAUUACAGAGGGACACAAGAAGAUAGAAACAUGCAGGAUUAGUAAAGACUAUUGAGCUAUUGUGAGCAAUGCUGGUAUCUUGAAAACAUCAGUUUCCAAAACAUUGAUUGGAUGUGAAGAGCUUUGAGAUGUUCAUGACACAUGCAGUAACAUUCAAGAGAAGUACAAUACAAUUCAUUUUUUUCUAUCA